GACGAACGCUGGCGGCGUGCUUAACACAUGCAAGUCGAACGGAAAGGCCCGGCUUUUGUUGGGUUCUCGAUUGGCGAACGGGUGAGUAACACGUGAGUAACCUGCCCUUGACUUUGGGAUAACUUCAGGAAACUCGGGCUAAUACCGGAUAGGAUCUCCUGCUGCGUGGUGGUGGUUGGAAAGUUUCGGCGGUGGGGUAUGGACUCGCGGCUUAUCAGCUUGUUGGUGUGGUAGUUGCUUACCAAGGCUUUGACGGGUAGCCGGCAUGAGAGGGUGAACGGGCACCAUGGGACUGAGGUACGCACCAGACGCCUACGGGACGCAGCAGUCGGAAAUAUUGCACAAUGGCCGGGAGCCUGAUGCAGCGAUGCUGCGUGCGGGAUGCCGGCCUUCGGGUUGUAAACAGCUUUCGCCUGUGACGAAGCGUGCGUGACGGUACUGGGUAAAGAAGCACCGGCUAACUACGUG
rnacentral:rRNA from 1 species